GGAGGCUUCAGGGGAAGAACUAUAGUCCCUUUCUGAGUAAUAGAGAGUGAACCCAUAGAGAGAUGGAGAAGCCCCUGGAGUGGAGCAUGCUUUGGUGGUGAGCAGGACCUGGAGCUCCAGGAAAGAAACCCAGGGAGGUGCUCAACUGAAGAGCUUCAGGAGGGAGUUUACAUGAGCUGAGGGACCCAGGCCUACCGAGGGGUGUGUUUUACUGGCUCCCAUGAUGUGGAGGAAGGACAGGAUGGGCCCAGUCCUCUGAGACUUCCAGGACGUGGCCUUCAGGAACACCCCACACCUCUGCAGACCAUCUACGCCAGAUAAGAAAGAGGCCAAGAUGCAGCAAAAAGACAUGUUCCGGGAGGUUGUACUGACAUCUAGUGGAAUGCUGCAGAGUGGAUGCUGAUGGUCUUCGGUAGCAUCCAGCUGGAGAACAGGGAUGAUACAGCCUGAUGUGACUGGCCAGGGAGCCGGAAGAUGAAACUAUAACUUGGACAUUGAUAUCUGAUAGGGAACAGGCUGUGUUGUGGAUGGUGGUGUGAAAGUGCUCCUGUCUAGACACAGAUGCCUGCAAUAACUGCAGGGAUUGGGGAAGGCAAUGCAGAACCUACCGGGCCAUGGCUAGAUACAUUGCUCUGCUGGAAUAUUCACUCCCUCCUCCCAGUAUAUCAAUCCCUCUUUUAUGAAUGUAAAUUGCCUUGUUGCUAUCAGGUGCAGGCAGGCCUAAUGGGUGGAUUAGCCUUCUUCAGCUGUAGACACCCCCAGCUGAGAAAUGUUAUCUGCAUUGGGGGAGAGAGAAUUGCUACAGAGCCAGGGAUUCUGAAACCUUCACAGCCCCCCUGUUCGUCUGUGGGGUUUUUUCUUAGA